UGCAAUACUAUAUGCUUCUAGAUUAGAGUUGGGUUUAUAGCAGGCCUAUCAUGACAGAGUUGCAACCGAGACUUAAAUUGUGCAGUAAGUUAAGGCACAUGUCUGUGACUCUUACUCCAAGGUUAAAAGCAUCAGAGUUGUG